GCAAAGGUUGUUCUUCUAUCUGAAUGUAACAUCAUUAAGCAAAUCCUCAUAAAGUUAGCUAGUCAAAAAUUGCCUACUUAGCUAUUGUUGAUAUGAGUAUAUUUAUCAUUUUUUUAUGUUCCUUGUUUAAUUUUCUAAAUAUGCUGAUCAGAGACUUUCUUUUAUGACUUAACAGGUGGCCCUUCAGAAGGUUUUUAAUUUUUCUAUUUCACAUAUAUUUGAAACAAGAGUAGCAGGCCGCAUGGUGGCAGAUAUGUGUCGUGCUGCUGUAAAGUGCUGCCCAGAAGAGUCUUUGAAGCUGUUUGUUCCCCACUGCUGCAGUGUUAUAACUCAGCUUACAAUGAAUGAUGAUGUAUUGAAUGAUGAAGAGCUAGACAAGGAGUUACUAUGGAAUCUUCAACUUUUGUCUGAGGUAUUGUAAAUCUUUGGAAGAAAAUAUUACUAUGAAAAUGUAACUUGUUUUUGGAAUUUAGCCCUUUCUAGCAACUACUUCUCUAUUUAAAAUAUGGCCAUCAAUCAAACUUGAGAUUCCUUUAUGAAACAGUUCAGAAAUUUAAGUAAAUUUUGUCUCUAAGGAGAUAGAUCAUUUUCAAAGGAUGAAACCUUGGCACGUGGAAGCUUAAACUCAAAGUUAGAUUUUUUUUGUUUUGUUUUUUCUACUUUAGUGGCCAAACAUUGAACAUUGUGUUAAUUAUUGAUUCUUAAUCUUUUAACCAAAAGACCUUGAACUGUGUUUUUAUCCUGUUUAGAUUACUCGAGUGGAUGGAAAGAAGUUGCUUCUUUAUAGGGAGCAGCUGGUAAAGAUUCUCCAAAGAACCCUCCAUUUAACCUGUAAGCAGGGUUACACUCUGUCUUGUAACCUUUUGCAUCAUCUUCUUCGUUCUACUACACUUAUCUACCCUACAGAAUACUGCAGUGUGCCAGGUGGCUUUGAUAAGCCUCCUUCUGAAUACUUUCCUAUCAAGGCAAGCAUUUUAUAUAAUUUAGGAUUCAAGAAUAUAUUGGGUUCUUUUUCUAAGGGAUUCAGAGUAUUUGGUUGUGUGUGUGAGUGUGUAUGUGUAAAGAUGUUAGUUUUUAAAAAAUAGAUUAUUAGGGCCUGGGAUUUAGCUCAGUAGUAUCAUGCUUGCCUCUCAAGCGCAAGGUCCUGAGUUCGAUCCCCGAUACCAAAAAAAAAAUUAUUAAAACCAUUAUUGGAAUGUCUUAAGCUUGGGCUGUCUCACUUUACAUGGAGCUAAUACUCCAGUUUUCUUUUUAUACAUGAAAAUUUUGCCAUAUCUAACCUCUGUGGUUUCAUGGAAUUUUAUUGUGCAGUUAGUUAGCCACACGUAAACUUAGGUGCAUUCUUACAGUAGACUCAUAGUAAGUGACUCUUCAGUGAGAAUUUUUUUAGGAAUGAUAAUGAAAGGGAAAUUGGUUUUUAUGCCACUCCUUUGUAUGUUAUUUGCUUAGCUUUGAAUUAUUUCUGCACUUCCUUUUAAUCCUGUUAAAUUGUGUGUACAUGUGUGUUUGGUUUUUUUGUUUGUGAUUUGUUUUUUCAACUUCUCAACUUAGUGAACAAAUGCUCCUCUUUUCUAGGACUGGGGUAAACCUGGGGACUUAUGGAAUCUGGGAAUCCAGUGGCAUGUUCCUUCUUCAGAGGAAGUGUCUUUUGCCUUCUAUCUCUUGGACUCCUUUCUUCAACCUGAGCUCAUCAAACUGCAGCAUUGUGGAGAUGGAGAACUUGAAAUGUCUAGGUUAGUUUUCUUCUGUAAUCGGUAUUAUUCAGGUGCAAAUGCAGACUAAAAAAGUACUUGUGAUUUUUCUCUCUUUGUAUGACAUAUCUGAAAUACUCAUUUUUAAUGUAUGCUUUGAAAAUCUUGGAAAAUGU
rnacentral:lncRNA from 1 species